GACAGUCCACCAAAAGAUGUCAAACCAAAUCCAGCCUAUUGUAAAGCUCUGGGACCUCCCUUCCAAGGACACCGAACACAAGCUUAGACACCGCUGCGAAAAGCUGUCCAAAAGCGCCUGGCCGGACAGAAAUGUAAGGAGCCCAGGCCAAAACGAAUUAGAACCCCCAACAGAGGGUCCCGCAGACACCGCGGAAAAGAAGGUGGCAUUUAUUCCGGGGUAGACAGCUACGAACCAGUUACCCCAGCCAGUCUCUGGGGGCUCUCCAACCCAAGUUCAGGUUUAUGGCAGAUAUAUUGGUUGGGUGCCUUCCCCUACAAACAUCACAGCCCGCCUCCGGGGCCCACCGCCGCUCACAGAGAAGACCCCUCAGCUUCACAUCCGUUCCUUUUGCCCUCGGACAAAGGCAGAGGAGCUGUGGAGCUGACCCAGCGCUGUGGGGCAGUAAAAAUGCCUUGUUCGGGCCACCCAUCUUUGGGCCCGGCUUCAUCUGCGAUGUCAGCACCAAAGGUUUUUUUUUUUUUUUUCCUGGUUUUGUUUUGUUUUUACAACGCAUCCUGGGCGGGUGUAUGCAUUUGGUGGUAGUGGGGUGGGGGGAACCGAACAGAGGAGGGGUUGGCAGUGAAGCCUGGGUUAUAGAACUCUCCUUCCUCUCCCUCCUUCCAGGGUUGCCGUGCAGGGAGUGUCAGCCACGUCUAGCGCACAGUCCCAGGCCCCAGGGCGAAGGCGGCCAGGGGAAAUGGGGCUCAGGGAUUGCUAAGCAAACGCAUCACUGGUGGUCUCCAGCGCCUGCGGAGGCAGUGCCUGAUGGCUGAGAAGAAUCGCAGAGGACUAGAAAAGGUUUGAGUCUGAAAUUAUCUGGCACAGAGGAUUAAAGCUCAGAAAUAAGUGAUUGCGAAACAGUUCAACUUCCCUGUUAAUGACAACAACAACAGCAACACGCUUAUUAAUUCCUAGCUGGAGCAUCAAGCUUAUGAAGAUUUCCAAGACUUUAUUGUUGACCCUUGUUGAAGAGAACUCUACUUGGCUUCUUUCCUGGCUUUCCUAAAUUGUUCACAUACAAGAUAAACUACCGUCAUUCAGACUUACAGAAGUGAGAAGACAAGCUGAACCAAAUGUAAAAUGGUAGCAAUUUACAGAUGUCAGAACUAACAUGUGGAUGAACUUAGAGAUGGAGAAGAAAGCUGGGCUUUUCCAAAGAGUGGAUCUAUCUGAACUGGAUAGCACUAUUGAACUUUGUUGCAUAUUUUGUGGUAGCUCUAAAACUCCUCUGCUUGCUUACAUACAACCAGACACCAGUGCCUUCUGAAGCUAAUCCAGGCCAUUUUUAUAACCUAAUGCAGUAGCACUUUGCAAUUAGAUGAAGAAGAUCGGUGGGAUUUCUUUCUGUGGUGAUUAAAAUGUGUCAGGGGAAGAAAUCAAGACAAUACUCCAAGUGAAAAAUAUAAAGUCAGUUAUUUCUUUAAUAUUUUGUGUUAUAGUAAUCAUUUUUAUAUUUUGAGCAUACUUUUUCUUGUCUACUUAAAUACUCAAAAUUAAUUAUAAAAUGUAAAUGUAAGCACAAUGAGAUACCAUCUCAUCCCAGUUAAAAUGGCUUUUAUCAAAAAGAUAGGGAAUAAUGAAUACUGGUGGAAGGAUGUGGAGAAUGGGGAACCCUCGUACACUGUCAAUGAGAAUGUAAAUUAGUACAGCCACUAUGGAAAACUGUAUGGAAGUGCCUCCGAAAACAAAGUAGAACUACCAUGUGAUCCAGCAAUUACACUAGUGGGUAUAUAUUCAAAAGAAAGGAAAUCAACAUAUUAAAGAGAUAGCUGCAUUCUCAUGUUUAUUGAAGUCCUGUUGAAAUAGCCAAAAUAUGGAAUCAACCUAAGUGCCCAUCAGUGGAUGAAUGGUUAAAGAAAAUGUGAUUGAUAUGCAAUGGAAUAUUAUUCAGCCAUAAAAAAGAAUGAAAUCCUGGCGGGGCACAGUGGCUCAUGCAAGUAAUCCCAGCACUGACCUCAUGAAGACAGAGAGUAGAUUGGUGGUUACCAGAGGUUGAGAAGGGGAGAGGAGAGGAGGGAUGAAGAGAGGUUGAUUGAUGGAUAGAAAUAUACAGUUUGAUAAUGAUAAAUCAGUAGGGUGACUAUAGUUUAUAAUAACCUAUUGUAUGGUUCAAAAUAGCUAAAAGAGAAUAAUUGAAAUAACGUAAGACAAAAAUUUAAGAUGAUAGAUAUCCCAAUUACACUGAUUUGAUCUUUACAAAUUAUAUGAAUGUAUUAAAUUAUUACAUGUAUCCCCAAAAUAUGUACAAGUAUUUUGUAUCAAUAAAAAAUAAAAUUUAAGAUAAAGUAAAUGUAAUGAUUAGCUUAUAUUUCCUAGAUCGGAAAUAAAUAUUUACUUAAGUAUGUUUAUGAUGAAGAGUUUUUUUAUAUUACUAUAAAAAUAGACACCUUACAUAAACAUAUUACAGUUGGUGUUUAGAUGGCUCUUUUUUUUCUGGCCUUGAAUUUCUGGAAAGUAGGUAUGGCCUGCUAUGUCAGGACUAGUUCUUGGAAUUCUUUGUUGUUUUUCAGUCAGCCUUAUUUUCUUGGGUCAUGUUUUGAACAAUAUUUAUCAAAUGUCUGUUUACCAGACGUUGUUCCAGAUGCUUGAACAAAAUGAAAUGUCUGCUGUCAUAGAGUUUCCAGUCUAUGUAAGACAGUAAACAAAUGUAUAAUAUAAUGCUAGAUAGUGAUAAGUGCUAAAAAGAAGAAGAAAAUAGGAAAGGGGAAAGAGAGUUUCUGUGUGAUUGUAUGUGAAAGUGUCCAUGCAUGCCGCUCACCCAGUAUUUUAAAUAGAGUGAUCAAGGAAGCCUGUCUGAAGAAGUAACAUUUGAACAGAGAUCUGAAAUAGUCAGUCACGGGAACAUUUAGGGAGAUGUUCCAGGCAGGCAUUGUGGACAAUUUAUGUCACAAAAAAGUCACCCAAGUGUUAAGUCAAGUAACAUCCUGUAUGAUAACUAUAUAUACAUUUUUUUGUUUUUUCUUAAGUGAAAAACAAACUUAUUAGGUUUUCUGGGUACUCAUUAGGUUUUCAGAAAAGUUUUUCAUUUAAUAUCAUUAUUGCUGUAUAUUUCCCUUAAUGAUUAUUCUAUUAUUUAAUACAUAAGAUUUAUGGCUCUACAGAUACAGCUUCACAAUCCCUUAUCUGUAAUUCCAAAAUACAAAAAAAUUUCUUAAUUCAUUUAGUGGCAAAAUCUGAACUGACAUGAAUCUAUUUAAAAUUAUCCUUUAUGGGCCAGGUGCAGUGGCUUACGCCUAUAAUCCCAGCACUUUGGGAGGCCAAGGCAGGAGGAUCACUUGAGGCCAGGAGUUUGAGACCAGCCUGGCCAACAUGGUGAAAUCCCAUUUCUCCUAAAAAUACAAAAAUUAGCUGGGUGUGGUGGCACAUGCUUGUGGUCCCACCUACUUGGGAGGCUGAGGCACGAGAAUCACUUGAACCUGGGAGGUGGAGGUUGCCGAGAUCUUGCCACUGCACUCCAGCCUGGGUGACAGAGCGAAACUCUUGUCUCAAAAAAAAAAAAAGUAUUUAUUCCAUUUAGUGUGACUACUGAUACAUUUCAUUGUAGAAACAUUAGUGUGUUUGAUGAAGGGUUGCUACACAUUAAGUAAAAUAUAGAUAAUACAAUGUAUUGUACCCUAAAAUAUAAAAAAAAUUAAAUCCAGAAACACGUGUUCCCAAGAAUUUUGGAUAAGGGAUUGUAGAUCUGUGUCAGAUUUCUUCUUGAUUUUCUGAUUAAAUGUUACCAUUGUUGUUAAUCUUUAGAUACAUUGUUUUUAGAAGUAUAAUGCUAUAUAGUGCCCUUAUUAUAUACUGGCAUUGCAUAAGCACUCUAUAUAUUAGCUAAUAAAAUGCUAACAACAACUUUAUGAGUAAAUUCUAUUAUUCCCAUUUUAUGGAUGAGAACACUGAGACGCAGAGAUUAAGACACCUGCCCAAAUCACAGUUACUAAAUAGCAGAGCUAGAACUCAGUCUUCCUCCAUAGCUUGCACAAUUUAAACUAACUCUGCCUUUUCCUUCUCCUCUCCUUUCCCCCACCCCAUGCCUGUAGUAUUUAUAUUUAACUUACUUUGAAGAAGUUUUGAGUAUCAGCCCUUUCCAAGAGCAUGAUUUUUACAUCUACUUUGAAAUACCAGACAUCAACAUUUUACAUUUUCUUUACAAAUUGGUGUCUCUCAAUAUUUUUAAAAAUUGUAUUUGUUCCUGCCCUAA
rnacentral:lncRNA from 1 species